rnacentral:rRNA from 1 species
UACGGGGGGGGCAAGCGUUGUUCGGAAUUACUGGGCGUAAAGGGCUCGUAGGCGGCCAACUAAGUCGGACGUGAAAUCCCUCGGCUUAACCGGGGAACUGCUUCCGAUACUGGAUGGCUUGAGUGUGGGAGAGGGAUGCGGAAUUCCAGGUGUAGCGGUGAAAUGCGUAGAUAUCUGGAGGAACACCGGUGGCGAAGGCGGCAUCCUGGGCUGAGAUUGACGCUCAGGCACGAAAGCGUGGGGAGCAAACAGG